AUGGAAAAAAGGCGGAAAAAUGCACAUUUGCAGCCGGUAUUUUUUUUUAUUAUGAAUUUAUUUUUUGUUUUGUUUUUUGCAAUAAAUAUAAAGCAUUGCCAUGAGGUAUUGAAGCGAGUGAAUCAUUUUGUUUCCCUGAUAACACUGCAUGCUUUUAAGUCAGCGCCCACUGAACUGGCUUUAGAGCACAGUGGCAGCCGUCCAGCUUCCCCAAAUGCAUCCUGGCGCAUCAAGUGGCUGCAGUCCUCGGAAAGCAGGAGCUGUGCGGUCAUUUCACACCGCUGUGAUUUCACUUCCAGUGUCCACAAAAAAACACUUAUUGUUACUUUUAAUGAAUAAAAAAAUAAACGUUCUCCAUAUGCUAUCUGCACACUUUGCGCUCGUUAUUACGGAUCAGAGCGCAUUUAUGCCUCUGAAACAUGUCAUUGUUUUUUUUUUUAAUUUAUGCACACAGUAAAUCUAACUGCUGUUAGUAAACCGCGUUUGUUUUUGCAAUUAAUGAACCAUUUGCGGAAGAAAUAUGAGAAGUUUUUUCUGAAUUAUUAUGACAUCAAAUCUUUAUUUUUUUAUUAUUACUAUUUUUGGCAAAUGAUCUUAAUGUGCAGAAUGAACUAAGCGUUAAAUGCAUUACAGCUGGCAACAAGUUACUGGAGUGGAUAUAUUCCCAGCAUAAAUAAUGAUGUUACAGGCUAGAUCACAUGUCAAACACUCGAUUUUUUCUGUCGAUUUAAGCGCUCGUUCAAAUCUAAGCUAAUUAAUUCCCACUAACAUCGCAGCUUCUCGUUUAAUUAUUCCAUCUCGAAGCAAAAAUGUAACAAAAGAUCCACCGAGAGCCUCGGUGAAAGUCCUGAUGUACGUUACAGACAGCGUGCCAGCGCACAGAGAACUUUCCCAUAAUUAAAACAAAAGUCUUACCGUUUAAAUCUCGCAGGGAAGGGGGUGCAAAUGCCGUCGUCUUGACAGUUCACAGAGGGACGAAGUGGUCGGUGACGAACUCCUCCUGGAAUCCACCCUAAACGACUUCCUGUGAGGUAAAAGCCAGAGGCACGGGCUUCAUGUGCGCCCCGUCCGCCACAGCGCAGCUCAUCUGGAGUCUCCGCUCCGAGGAGCGCAGAGCGAGGAGACACGGUGGGAGAAACCUGCUGCCGUCUGCACGACGCGAUGUGGAAAGCCCCUGGUGGUGGUGGAGGGGAGCGAAGCGCAUGGGGGUGGGGGUGAGGCACCAUGGGGCAUCACUGUGACCAUAAUCGGAAAAUAAAUGAUGAAAAGAAUACAAUAACGCCACGUUUAGUUUUGAUCCAUCAUCAUGAGGCAACAGCCCACAUCCCCUCCCCGCUGCUCACAGGUGAUGUAAACUUCUUGUUUAUCAUAGAAAUGAAUUUGUGUCAGGUGUGAGCUGACCCUUGAUGAGGCUGACAGGUAAGGUGUGGGUGCAUCGUUUCAUUACAAGCACAGAGUUGUUUGUCUUUGUUAGUCUGCUCUGAGAGCGACUCCAAGGAGACAAACUGCAUCAGAGGCACUUAGAAGCAUGCUUUUACACAUCACUGUCUGCUUUGUUCUCAAAUUCUGUCUUUUCAUUUGGAGACACUUCUCCAGUCCACCAGGCAUUCUGCAGAGGGAAGUUCAGAGGAAAGUUUGAAUUGGGAGUUUUCUUCUCGGCGUUUAAAGCACGGUCAUUGUCAACCAUCAGGGCUGCAGCAGGAGAAUACACGUUGGUUGUCAGCUGCCACAGCUAAAUCUGGCAAUAUGACCUGCGUGUAUUUUAUAAAACAACACGAUCAAAAGAAAAUAGUUGCUUCAGUUGGUGGAGUAUGACUAAUAAUCCCUAUGUGGAGUUUAGACAAAUUUUCUUUGGGUGUUGGAGUAGGUUGAAAUGUCAAGUGUAGCUGCUUUGCUGAAGUGGUUCACCUGUUAAUCACUGUGUGUGUGUGUGUGUGUGUGUGUGUGUGUGUGUGUGUGUGUGUGUGUGUGUGUGUGUGUUGCUGUGAAACACACACACACACACAGUAAGGGACAAGAGACAAGAACAAAGCCGAGGGGGAGAGAGAGGCUGAGACAAAGAAGGAGGGAGGGAGUCCUGCUGCCGAUUAUCCACCAUCACACAGUCUCUGAGGCUCAGUCAGUGAGGUUAGGAAGGUUAGAAAGCUGAUGUACCAACAAGGAUUUAAAAGCUAGUGGGCAUAAGCUGCAUACAGGGAGGUGCUAACAGAAGAAGAGAGAUUUGGAGGGAGGAAAAAAUCAAAAGGAGGCAUUUUUCAGAGUUACCGAGGGACAGCCAGGGAGAAAAGUGGAAAACAGAAAACGUUUUUGUAGCAUCAUGAUUUACAGGUUAACAGCAGCUCCACAUAUCUAUAGUUUUGAGAUUUUGUUUAUUUAUGAUAAUAAUUCAUUGUCUGAUGCAGGAUCUUGGAUUUUUUUUUUACUAAUCAAUGACUGAAUUUAUACGUCUUGUCAGACUGUUGUCAUUGGAAAUCUUUUUUCUUUUUUUUAAAUAUUUUAUAAAAGAUUUACAUUUUAAAACUUUAACACCUGAUCUGCAUUCCCAAAAAGUUAGUUUUAAAUGUAUAGACAUUUUGCUUUCUAAUUACCUUUUCCUUCCAUGUAGUUAAGCCUUUACACUAUGCCUCAGCACACUAGCUGUCCCGGGUCAUUUUACAUGGCUACAUCUGGGGGUGGAAGUGCUGACUAAGAGCAGGUCUUUUGAAUUUUAAAAUAUUCGUCAGCAGCAAGGUGUUGAAACACUGCUCGAGCCCAUUUCUCAGACCCGUAAUGGGAACUGGAGGCCCGCAGCUACAAACAUAAAUAUCUGUAGAUAAAGUACUUUAAGGUGUGACCAGGAGAUCAAUACAUGUCAAUGAGAAAGAAAUGGUGGAAAAGAGUAAAAAAAAAAGAGGGCCUGGUGGAAAUCAGAGGAAAGAUCUGCAUAAUUUAACCGCAAUGUUAAUGUGAUUUACUUAUUUCUCUAAAAUGAAGACGGUGCAGUGUUGCCAAAGGAAGCUGAUGGAAGACAUCUUUAAUACCUCCCUUAUUUAAAUUUUACCAUGAUCAUAUUGUUCCUCCUUUUUAGACAAAUCAGUUUCAGGAUUUCAGCCAAUGGCAAGACACCUUGUUGCCUUAAAAAAUGUUGCCUCAACAAAAUGAUCUGGAGCAUUACAGCUUGUACUCACAGUUCAACAAUCUAAAUCAUCUCUGCAUGAAUAUUUGAAUAUCUGGGCUGCUGCCAAAUAAGCAUAAUGCAAACUUCAUUAUCUACAGAGGAAAAAAGGGAAGAAGCUUUCCAGGACCGACUGGAAAUGUAGUGUGAAACAGAGUUUUUAACGAGCGUAACUACUUCUAUGCAUCUCACAAACAAGUGCUCUGUUCACUACUACUCACAAUUAAAUUUGGCUUCAAAACAGUUAUAUGGAGAAGAAUACAUUAGCUGGAAUUUAGUUUUAAAAUAAUUUAUGGUUAAUUAAAGGUGUGGACCAUUGAAAAGAUAAUUUUUAUGAUUAUUUCUGAUUAUAAUCGGUCACUCUGAGUUUUAUUUACAAUUAUUAUUAAUACUAAUACUACUAUUACUACUACUACUACUACUACUACUACUACUAAUAAUAAUAAUAAUAAUAAUAAUAAUAAUAAUAAUAAUAAUAAUAAUAAUAAUUUAGUAAUAUCAAAAUAAUAUAGUCCUAAUAAAUAAUAGCAGAAAUGUGGAGACUCAGGUUCUCCCUGCAUAAAAUGCAAAACAAGAAACAGUGUGAACUGGUUUCUUUAUUUCCAGUUUAUUAUACUCAAAAUCAGCUGUUCACUGUGGCACUGUUCAGGGCCCAGCUAAAGCAUGGCUGCCACCACUUCUUGGACCAGAUGUUAACUCAGUAGCGGCUGACAUACUGGUCAUGCAGGUCCACUGCUCUUGUGAGUUGUAGUUCUGGAUACACUUGGGCUGUCUGACCUUGUCCAUGGUCCACUUCUGUUUGUUCCUUCUCUGUCUCAGCAUCAUGGCCAAGAACCUCCACAACAAUGCACCUAAGUAAAAGACAACAUACAUGAUUUAUUUCUAUUUUUACCAAUGUUAUUUCAUGAAAAUUGCUUACAUACAAUUCAUACCAGAGGGUAAAGAGGUUUGUGUGUGUGUAGGUGGAGGGGGGUCAUAGGUGUGGGUAUUGGUUAUUGUAAGUGUGGAUUUCCUUUUUUUUUUUUUUUUUUUUUUUUUUUUU
rnacentral:lncRNA from 1 species